GUAGGUGAACCUGCGGAAGGAUCAUUAACACGUAUCCAACGUUAAACAACCCUGUGAACUUUCAGACGCUCUUGUAGCCCAGGCGGAACAGCAAUCCCGGUAAAUCAACGGCGGAAAGAGUUUUGAUUCGGGACCUCUGUCCAAAAGGUAUCAAGUUACAAUCGAGCUAGGAGCAGUGGCAUGGUUUCCUGAAGCAGUGCCGAAG
rnacentral:misc_RNA from 1 species